rnacentral:other from 1 species
UGUUACCUGCGGUGAUUGUAAUAAGGCUUAAGUCUCUUGACCUUAAUUAAUAUUGCUAGGGGGCAAAACGCUGAGUGGUGUGCACGCCAUGUAUUUUGGAAGCCUAAGCUUUGCCAUUUUCUGCCUUCCACUUGAACGUACCAGUUCAAGAGCACAGUGCCGCAUACGUUAUUCGCGGGGCAGCC